rnacentral:lncRNA from 10 species
ACUGAGGGUGCCGGGAUGGAGGCGCCCAGCCGGACCGUGGUGGUGAAGCUGGCAAAAUCUGUGGUGGCCCCAUCCUGCGGAGCAGGCCGUCCACGGCUGAUAGUGCAGAGAGCUCAGGCCGAAGCUGGUGGCUGCAGUCCCUGGAAUGGAUGCCACUGGACCUCAGCUGAGUCUAUCUCAGCGGGUGCUGGGGGCAGGGGAGGGAAGGAGCAGUGGGAGUAGAGACUCGUCCCUGGCAUUCCUCCCUUGCCUUGUGCCCCUAUCAGGUUCCCACCCCUCCCUGGGCCCCAAGCAGCUGUCCUUGGGCCUGCCUUCAUCUCCUGCUUGCUGCUGUCACCCUCACUAGGGCCACACUUUCCCCAGGGGCCUGAGAAAUCUCAGCUCCUGGUCCCUUCCACCUAAUACCACCUUGUCUUAGCCCUUGUGGUGUCAUGCUGGGCUGGCUGGGGCUCGAGGCAUCCAUGAUGGGUGGCACCUCCAUGCCUUCCCAGGCCCAGGAGCUGGGAGGGGCAGCAAUGGCCCUGA